UGAACUGGGNGACUAGAGUGUGUCAGAGGGAGGUAGAAUUCCACGUGUAGCAGUGAAAUGCGUAGAGAUGUGGAGGAAUACCGAUGGCGAAGGCAGCCUCCUGGGAUAACACUGACGUUCAUGCCCGAAAGCGUGGGUAGCAAACAGGAUUAGAUACCCUGNUAGUCCACGCCCUAAACGAUGUCGAUUAGCUGUUGGGCAGCAUGACUGCUUAGUAGCGAAGCUAACGCGUGAAAUCGACCGCCUGGGGAGUACGGUCGCAAGAUUAAAACUCAAAGGAAUUGACGGGGACCCGCACAAGCGGUGGAUGAUGUGGAUUAAUUCGAUGCAACGCGAAGAACCUUACCUGGUCUUGACAUGUACGGAACCCUCCAGAGACGGAGGGGUGCCUUCGGGAGCCGUAACACAGGUGCUGCAUGGCUGUCGUCAGCUCGUGUCGAGAGAUGUUGGGUUAAGUCCCGCAACGAGCGCAACCCUUGUCAUUAGUUGCCAUCAUUAAGUUGGGCACUCUAAUGAGACUGCCGGUGACAAGCCGGAGGAAGGUGGGGAUGACGUCAAGUCCUCAUGGCCCUUAUGACCAGGGCUUCACACGUCAUACAAUGGUCGGUACAGAGGGUAGCCAAGCCGCGAGGUGGAGCCAAUCUCACAAAACCGAUCGUAGUCCGGAUUGCACUCUGCAACUCGAGUGCAUGAAGUCGGAAUCGCUAGUAAUCGCAGGUCAGCAUACUGCGGUGAAUACGUUCCCGGGUCUUGUACACACCGCCCGUCACACCAUGGGAGUGGGGGAUACCAGAAGU
rnacentral:rRNA from 1 species